GGCCUCCAUCUUGAAAACGGAAAAUAAAAACAGCAGACCUAUGAAGGUCGAAGGGGAAGAAAAGCUGUAUCGAUUGUUGAGAUCUGGCGACUUGUUUAAAUUUCAUCAGCCUCACUUCUAUGAACUCUCAGAGCUGAUUACCAACUCCUACCACUGUUAACCCUCAUCCAGGAACAAGCUUAUGUCUUUAACAUUCUGAGUGGGCUUCAGCAUCCUUGCAUAUGUUCAAUUCUUAAAAACCUGUUGAAAUAAAAGAUCAGGAGACAUAGGAAGGAUGCCAGAAGAGAGCGUGGCCUCACGUGUACCAGCUCUCUGCUCUCCUUUGCCUUGGGACGUUCCAUCCCUGGAAGUUUCCCUGCCCACAUCUUUGUAGAGAGUCCAUUCUCCAAGCUUCAGUGUGUCAUCUGUGAGGACCGUGACCCACCUGGUACAUCGCCUCAGGGCAUUCAUUUCAGGCUCCUUCUAAAUGGCCAAGUUUUCAAGAUUGUUUUGGCUCUAGCAAAACAAGUUGGAACAUUCACAUCAUCCAGUGUCGACCACAACAACAAAAGUUUCAGGAGACUUACUAUGUGCUCAACAUUGUAUUAGGUAUUAUGGUUGACCCUAAAGAAGCAUCAGCUUGGCUUUGCACCAAAGAAGUUUUUAGUCAAGUUGGAGAGAGAUCACUACUCAAAGAACGCAAGAGACUAAUGGAAGACAGAAUAUAUUGGCAGCAGACUAAAAGGCAGAAUGGUCACACUUCAAAAUGUUUGGUACAAGCUAUGGUGAUGUUAUUGAUCUUCUGAUUUGAUGUUCCUGUGAAGGUUCUAUGACCUAUUUUGAUAUGUAGACAGUGGUAAAAUGCUCAAAGCUCUUUGCUACGAUAUGUAAUAACAAAGGGAACAGUAAAAAAUAUUCUGUUUAAAUAAGCCAGAUCACUUUUACAUGUGAUGGCCAAGCCAUGCAGGGGAGGAGGUGCUGAGCCUGGUUCUGUUAGUAACUGAGUGGUAGCUGAAGAAGACAAAUCUAACCAGGCAUGGCAAGUCCGUGGAUGCCAUGAGAGCCUGUGCAUUUAGAACUAGGGCACACUAACAGAGAUCAAACUAAGUUUUUCCACUAACAUCAGACCUUUGCAAUUUAAUGAUUAUAAAACUUUCCUAACAUUUGCAAGUUUCUAAACAUUUAUUUUCUUUUAUUCUGUGCAAUUCCUAUUACCAUUGAAAUUAUUUAGGUCACAUAUUUUUGUGUUAUUUAAGUAACACUCAAAGACAAAACCAAGAAAUUCUUUUUCUACUUUUAACCAUCCUGAUUGGAUAGUUUAUAUUUAUAUCAAGUUCUAAUCUCCUAAAAUUUUUAGUGUGUUUAAUAAUGAAUCUUUGAAGAAUAUGAUACACUUGUGUAAUAGCUUUUUCAUAUAAUAAAAUUUUCCAAAGUAAAUAACCUGACAAAUUAAAAAAAACUCAUACAUUAAAUGUAAAGUACUAUUUUGUUAUAAUCAUAGAAUUUAAUAAAUUAAAAGGAUUUUAGAGAAUAUUA
ensembl:lncRNA TEX41 testis expressed 41